UCGCACCUACCGAUUGAAUGGUUCGGUGAAAAUUUCGGACUGCGUGUUCUUUUGCCUCGGCAAUCCAUGUAGGAAGUUAUUUAAACCUCAUCAUUUAGAGGAAGGUG
rnacentral:rRNA from 1 species